GGGGAUUNCCCCUUUNNNCUUCCNCCAACCCCAUUAAANCANUCCCCUGGGGAANUCCGCCCCNAAGNUUGAANCUCAAAGGAAUUGACGGGGGCCCGCACAAGCAGUGGAGCAUGUGGUUUAAUUCGAAGCAACGCGAAGAACCUUACCAAGUCUUGACAUCCUCUGAGAAUCCUAGAGAUAGAGCGUUUCCUUCGGGGGACAGAGUGACAGGUGGUGCAUGGUUGUCGUCAGCUCGUGUCGUGAGAUGUUGGGUUAAGUCCCGCAACGAGCGCAACCCUUGAUCUUUGUUGCCAGCAUUGAGUUGGGCACUCAAAGGUGACUGCCGGUGACAAACCGGAGGAAGGUGGGGAUGACGUCAAAUCAUCAUGCCCCUUAUGACUUGGGCGACACUCGUGCUACAAUGGGCGGUACAGAGGGUAGCGAGACCGCGAGGUUGAGCCAAUCCCUUAAAGCCGCUCUCAGUUCGGAUUGCAGGCCGCAACUCGCCUGCAUGAAGGAGGAAUUGCUAGUAAUCGCGGAUCAGCAUGCCGCGGUAAUCCGUCCCGNCCUU
rnacentral:rRNA from 1 species